AACGAACGCUGGCGGCAGGCUUAACACAUGCAAGUCGAGCGCCCCGCAAGGGGAGCGGCAGACGGGUGAGUAACGCGUGGGAAUCUACCCAUCUCUACGGGAUAACGCAUGGAAACGUGUGCUAAUACCGUAUACGUCCUUCGGGAGAAAGAUUUAUCGGAGAUGGAUGAGCCCGCGUUGGAUUAGCUAGUUGGUGGGGUAAAGGCCUACCAAGGCGACGAUCCAUAGCUGGUCUGAGAGGAUGAUCAGCACACUGGGACUGAGACACGGCCCAGACUCCUACGGGAGGCAGCAGUGGGGAAUAUUGGACAAUGGGCGCAAGCCUGAUCCAGCCAUGCCGCGUGAGUGAUGAAGGCCCUAGGGUUGCAAAGCUCUUUCACCGGUGAAGAUAAUGACGGUAACCGGAGAAGAAGCCCCAGCUAACUUCGUGCCAGCCGCCGCGGUAAGAC
rnacentral:rRNA from 1 species